AUUGAACGCUGGCGGCAGGCCUAACACAUGCAAGUCGAGCGGAAGAAGGGAGCUUGCUCCUGGAUUCCGCGGCGGACGGGUGAGUAAUGCCUAGGAAUCUGCCUGGUAGUGGGGGAUAACGUCCGGAAACGGGCGCUAAUACCGCAUACGUCCUGAGGGAGAAAGUGGGGGAUCUUCGGACCUCACGCUAUCAGAUGAGCCUAGGUCGGAUUAGCUAGUUGGUGGGGUAAAGGCCUACCAAGGCGACGAUCCGUAACUGGUCUGAGAGGAUGAUCAGUCACACUGGAACUGAGACACGGUCCAGAGUCCUACGGGAGGCAGCAGUGGGGAAUAUUGGACAAUGGGCGAAAGCCUGAUCCAGCCAUGCCGCGUGUGUGAAGAAGGUCUUCGGAUUGUAAAGCACUUUAAGUUGGGAGGAAGGGCAGUAAGUUAAUACCUUGCUGUUUUGACGUUACCAACAGAAUAAGCACCGGCUAACUUCGUG
rnacentral:rRNA from 1 species